AUGCCUUUGAAGUUGAGCUUGAUCUCCUGACAACAAAGAGACUUUCAGCCUGAGAGUCACGGCAGGUAACUUAGUCACCUGUGCCUCUGUUUCACGUGCAGGGCCUGCUGCACCACCUGCGACUUACAGGAGGAAUUAAACGUGUAUUUUAUGCGUGUAUCACUCGACCUGCGUGCGCUCCUGAAGGGAAACACAUCGACUGGCUGUUACAGUAGUCCAUCACAGCAGAGGGAAUGAGGCAGAGGUGAUGACUGUGAAGUUCAUCUAGCAAGGGCAUUCACUUCUGGUAUGCACUGUGCAACCUACGAUGGAGACGUCCUUCAGACCAAGUCUUGAUGCACUUCAUAACAUUGUGCAAGCCAGCAUUGAUAAGAACAAGAACCAGGAUGUUCAUUUGAGCACAGAGGCUGACAUUGUGAGAGGUUAAUGUCAAAGCUG